rnacentral:lncRNA from 1 species
AUACUCAGUUCUAAACUGUGCUAAAUUGCAUCUUUUCCAAUAUGUCUACUGUGGCCAGGCCUUGUACUAACAGUUUUCUGCAUUAUUAAUUCCAGUGUGGAAGUUUAUAGCUGGGAGCCAAAGAAACCUGCUCUAAGGAAGAGCGUGCCAGAGCCACCUCUAGCUGUUUCAAGCGUGCAACACAGGUGAAUCGCCUGCACAAGCUGGGGCAAGUUCCCCAGACACCAAGUGAACUAGCAUGAGAGGAAUAACACAAUUGCUCGUGAAAACUAGAAAAUCGUCACCAAGCAAUUAAUCCAGAUUAGGAACCCUCUGAAAAUAGAAUGAAACCCAUUGUCUCUUUAAACAAGGCACAUUGCACUCCAUUACAGGUCCAUUUCCAGAGCAUCUGAAAGACAGGGAAUUGGUAGAAGUUGGAGAAACCAAAGCCUUCAAACCUGGCUACAGGACCAAUAUUUUUGCUGUCCCUCACAAGUGGAAGUCAUUGCAAAGAGACUGUUGCCCUUCUGCUCUGGAUGAAGACGUUGUGUUUUCACAUAGCAUCUCAGUUUAUAACAAAAAGGCUUGUGCACAAUGAAUACAAUAGCAGCUGAGAAACAGAGCAGAAAGGUUUGGGAGGCUGCAUUCAGCUUGAA